rnacentral:rRNA from 1 species
GAUGAACGCUGGCGGCAUGCCUAAGACAUGCAAGUCGAACGAGGUGGCCCAUUGAAGUCUGAGUGCUUGCACAAAGAUGAAUUUGGAUUUUCCACCUAGUGGCAAACGGGUGAGUAACACGUGGGUUACCUACCUUUAAGUUGGGGAUAACAACUGGAAACGGUUGAUAAUACCGAAUGUGCUCUGCGGAGUAAAGAAGCCUUUAAAGCUUCGCUUAGAGAUGGGCCUGCGGCGUAUUAGUUAGUUGGUGGGGUAAUGGCCUACCAAGACAGCGAUGCGUAGCCGAACUGAGAGGUUAAUCGGCCACACUGGGACUGAGACACGGCCCAG